rnacentral:rRNA from 1 species
AGUUAACGUUGGCAGUGCGUCUUAAGCAUGCAAGUCGAACGGCAGCAGGACAUAGCUUGCUAUGUUGCUGGCGAGUGGCGGACUGGUGAGUAACACGUAAGAAUCUACCCUUUGAUGGAGGAUAGCUUAUGGAAACAUGAGGUAAUACUCCAGAAGCCGUGCACUAAAUUGAGACAGUAAAAAAAAGACAAAAAGCAGGUAUUGAAAGGUAUGGUAAAAGUCUUCGGAUGUCAAAGGAUGAGCUUGCGUCCUAUCAGCUAGUUGGUAAGGUAAAAGCUUACCAAGGCUAUGACGGGUAACCGGCCUGAGAGGGUGAUCGGUCACACUGGAACUGAGAUACGGUCCAGACUCCUACGGGAGGCAGCAGCUAAGAAUAUUCCGCAAUUGGGGCAACCCUGACGGAGCGACACUGCGUGCGGGAUGAAGGCUUUCGGGUUGUAAACCGCUUUUGGUAGGGACGAAUAAGCAUGCGAUGACGGUACCUACCGAAUAAGUCCCGGCAAUUACGUGCCAGCAGCCGCGGUAAUACGUAAGGGGCAAACGUUACUCGGAAUCACUGGGCGUAAAGGGCCCGCAGGCGGUCUUGUAAGUCAGUUGUUAAAUACUAGUGCUUAACGCUAGAGAUGCGCCUGAUACUGCGAGACUAGAAUACAGUAUAGGGUGAUGGAAUUUCCGGUGUAGGGGUGAAAUCUGUAGAGAUCGGAAAGAAUACCAAUGGCGAAGGCAAUCACCUAGUCUGAUAUUGACGCUGAGGGGCGAAAGCUAGGGUAGCGAACGGGAUUAGAUACCCCGGUAGUCCUAGCCGUAAACGAUGUAUGCUAGGUAUAGGGAGGCAAGACCAUUUUGUACCGCAGCUAACGCGAUAAGCAUACCGCCUGGGGAGAUGCCCGCAAGGGU